rnacentral:antisense_RNA from 1 species
CUUGAUCGACCCGAGCCACAACGGCUCGGUCCGGUCGCGGCCGUAGGUGGCCAGCAAGGCCUGGGCCUC